AAAGAAAGAUCCCCAGCAGCAGUACUGCGCACACACACACACACACACACACACUCGAAUAAGCAAACACACCCUCUCAGCUUCCUGCUAUGAUAAGUCUGGGCCCUUUGUGCCCCAUCGUUAGCAUAAACUCGAGCUGAUGGGGUCGAUGGAGGCUGAUCGUGGGUCGGGGAACGUUGCGCUUCGUCUGCUGUGUUAAAACCGGUUACCGAGAGAUCGGCCCAGCUUUGCAUGGGUUACGCUAAGGACCUCUGGAGGAACUGUCGAAUGUGGAGGCGUUCUGUAAUCUGCGAGGUCCUGAGUGUUCCUGCGUGUCUACGUAGACCUGUGCCGAGCGGUCGUCCCAAGAGGCGGUAAUACCAGACUUCUAUACGUCUAUACGACUUGGUUGCUCUGUAUGCUCUUUCACCCUAAUAGACUCCAUAUAGGACUUCCAGAGAUCCCUGUUAUUUGGGUGAUGGACCGUUCUCAGCCAUGAUACCUUCUAAUGAACACAACACUUGUGACCGUUGGGGGUCGAGGGCUUCGCUCGGGAGCCCGACAGUGCGGACCAGCGACCCAACCGGCAACCUUCCGAUUACUAGUCUGAUUACUUGACCACCGAGCUACGACUGCCCUGCCGCGAGUCGACUCUGGUGACUCUACCACACGCGAUGACAUCGACACGACCCACCGAACGGAGCCCGCCGGGCAGACCGACACCCCGCCGGAGUGACCGAAAUACAAACCCGAGCCGAUCCUCUCGGCUCCCGCGGCUCUCGCCGGCAGAGGUGAACGAAGGACGAUACGAGACGAGAGAUCGGACCGUUUGAAGACGAAGGAGAUCCGAUCGUCGACGAUCCUACUGGCCGACCGGACUACUUAAAUUACUCUCGAUGCUGUUCUAAGCAGAUACCCGUACCAUCGAGGCCAAGGACCGGCCCUUGGGAAUAAACGUAGCUCGCAUACCAGUAGUAACGGAAGACCAUGUAUCCAGCUCCUGCAGCAUCAAGCACUGACGAGCGAAUACCGGCACGGGUCUCUGGAGUGCGUCUUCUCGGUUCUUACUAAUUUUCUGACCGAUGAUUUGUUGUUAGCACCAUUAAAAGACUCAUUUUUA